GACGAACGCUGGCGGCAUGCCUAAUACAUGCAAGUCAAACGCUGAAGCACUCUGCUUGCAGAGUGCGGAUGAGUGGCGAACGGGUGAGUAACACGUGGGAAAUCUGCCUAUAAGAGGGGGAUAACAUUCGGAAACGGAUGCUAAUACCGCAUAUAUUCUUGGACCGCCUGGUCCUUGAAAGAAAGACGGCUUUGCUGUCGCUUAUAGAUGAUCCCGCGGCGUAUUAGUUAGUUGGUGGGGUAAAGGCCUACCAAGACAAUGAUACGUAGCCGACCUGAGAGGGUGAUCGGCCACACUGGGACUGAGACACGGCCCAGACUCCUACGGGAGGCAGCAGUAGGGAAUCUUCCACAAUGGGCGAAAGCCUGAUGGAGCAAUGCCGCGUGAAUGAAGAAGGUCUUCGGAUCGUAAAGUUCUGUUAUUAGAGAAGAACAAGUCAAGGAGUAACUGUCUUGACUUGGACGUACCUAA
rnacentral:rRNA from 1 species